GGAACAGUAGAAAAGUUGGUCAAUGCGCCGGAUUGAAGAUCCGAGGAUAUAGGUUCGAAUCCUAUCUGUUCCA
rnacentral:tRNA from 1 species